CCAUCGUUGUCAUUCAACUACAAGAACA
rnacentral:tRNA from 2 species